rnacentral:rRNA from 1 species
GAGGAAAGAGGGAGGAGGGAUGAAUACAUGCAAGUCGAGCGAACAGACGAGGAGCUUGCUCCUCUGACGUUAGCGGCGGACGGGUGAGUAACACGUGGAUAACCUACCUAUAAGACUGGGAUAACUUCGGGAAACCGGAGCUAAUACCGGAUAAUAUAUUGAACCGCAUGGUUCAAUAGUGAAAGACGGUUUUGCUGUCACUUAUAGAUGGAUCCGCGCCGCAUUAGCUAGUUGGUAAGGUAACGGCUUACCAAGGCAACGAUGCGUAGCCGACCUGAGAGGGUGAUCGGCCACACUGGAACUGAGACACGGUCCAGACUCCUACGGGAGGCAGCAGUAGGGAAUCUUCCGCAAUGGGCGAAAGCUUGACGGAGCAACGCCGCGUGAGUGAUGAAGGUCUUCGGAUCGUAAAACUCUGUUAUUAGGGAAGAACAAAUGUGUAAGUAACUAUGCACGUCUUGACGGUACCUAAUCAGAAAGCCACGGCUAACUACGUG